UACGGAGGAUCCAAGCGUUAUCCGGAAUUACUGGGCGUAAAGAGUUGCGUAGGUGGCAUAGAAAGCAAAUAAUGAAAUCGUGUGGCUUAACUGCAUAAACAUUAUUUGAACUACUAAGCUAGAGAGCGAGAGAGGUAUCUGGAAUUCCCAGUGUAGGAGUGAAAUCCGUAGAUAUUGGGAAGAACACCGAUGGCGUAGGCAGGAUACUGGCUCGUUUCUGACACUAAGGCACGAAAGCGUGGGGAGCGAACGGGAUUAGAUACCCCGGUAGUCCACGCCGUAAACUAUGGAUGCUAGCUGUUAAAGGUAUCGACCCCUAUAGUAGCAAAGCUAACGCGUUAAGCAUCCCGCCUGUGGAGUACGGUCGCAAGACUAAAACAUAAAGGAAUUGACGGGGACCCGCACAAGCGGUGGAGCGUGUUGUUUAAUUCGAAAGUAAGCGAAGAACCUUACCCAGGCUUGACAUCCUGCGAAUUUCUCCGAAAGGAGAGAGUGCUUUAUUGAGCGCAGUGACAGGUGUUGCAUGGCCGUCGUCAGCUCGUGUCGUGAGAUGUUUGGUUAAGUCCAUCAACGAGCGCAACCCUUAUGUUUAGUUAAAUUUCUAGACAGACUGCCCUGGUAACAGGGAGGAAGGAGGGGAUGAUGUCUGGUCAGUAUUACCCUUACGUCUGGGGCUACAGACACGCUACAAUGGCCAGUAUAAAGGGCAGCUAAGUCGUGAGACGGAGCAAAUCCCAUCAAAACUGGUCUCAGUUCGGAUAGUAGGCUGAAACUCGCCUACUUGAAGUCGGAAUCGCUAGUAAUGGUAAGUCAGCAUAUUACCGUGAAUACGUUCCCGGGUCUUGUACACACCGCCCGUCAAGCCAUGAAAGUCACCAAUAUCUGACGUGCGAGCUUUGCCUCGCCCUAAGGUAGGGGGGAUGAUUGGGGUU
rnacentral:rRNA from 1 species